rnacentral:rRNA from 1 species
GGCAGAGGUCCCGAGCGUUAGACGGAAUCACUGGGCUUAAAGCGUGUGUAGGCGGACGGGUAAGUACCUUGUGAAAUCCCACGGCUCAACCGUGGAACUGCUUGGUAUACUGCUUUUCUUGAGCCACUUAGGGGCAACCGGAACAAAUGGUGGAGCGGUGAAAUGCGUAGAUAUCGUGAGGAACACCAGAGGCGAAGGCGGCUACCUGGACAAUUGCUGACGCUCAGGCACGAAAGCGUGGGGAGCAAAAGGG